UACGUAGGUGGCAAGCGUUGUCCGGAUUUACUGGGCGUAAAGAGCGCGCAGGCGGUCGUCCAAGUCGCGUGUGAAAGCCCCCGGCUUAACUGGGGAGGGUCACGCGAUACUGGUCGACUCGAAGGCAGGAGAGGGUAGUGGAAUUCCCGGUGUAGUGGUGAAAAUGCGUAGAUAUCGGGGAGGAACACCAGUGGCGAAGGCGACUACCUGGCUGUUCUUGACGCUGAGGCGCGAAAGCUAGGGGAGCGAACAGG
rnacentral:rRNA from 1 species